CCUACGGGAGGCUGCAGUGGGGAAUAUUGGACAAUGGGGGCAACCCUGAUCCAGCCAUGCCGCGUGUGUGAAGAAGGCCCUCGGGUUGUAAAACACUUUCAGUGAGGAAGAACGCCUGGUGGUUAAUACCCAUCAGGAAAGACAUCACUCACAGAAGAAGCACCGGCUAACUCCGUGCCAGCAGCCGCGGUAAUACGGAGGGUGCGAGCGUUAAUCGGAAUUACUGGGCGUAAAGCGCGCGUAGGUGGCUUGAUAAGCCGGUUGUGAAAGCCCCGGGCUCAACCUGGGAACGGCAUCCGGAACUGUCAAGCUAGAGUGCAGGAGAGGAAGGUAGAAUUCCCGGUGUAGCGGUGAAAUGCGUAGAGAUCGGGAGGAAUACCAGUGGCGAAGGCGGCCUUCUGGACUGACACUGACACUGAGGUGCGAAAGCGUGGGUAGCAAACAGGAUUAGAUACCCCAGUAGUC
rnacentral:rRNA from 1 species